AUGACAAUGGCUAUGGCCCCGUGCCAGCACGGUGGAAAGGAAAAAUGUCAGACUGGCGAGGAGUUCAACGCCACUAGUUGCAACAGAAAGAUCAUUGGCGCGCGGUGGUAUGGCCGUGGCAUCAGUGCCGAGUCACUAAAGAGCGACUAUAAGUCGCCUAGGGACCUCAGCGGCCAUGGCACACACGUCGCAUCAACUAUCGCUGGCCGGGAGGUGCAGGGUGUGAGCUACGGAGGCCUAGGCAUGGGCGUGGCACAUGGUGGGGCACCACGUGCGCGGCUCGGUAUCUACAAGGUGUGCUGGGUGGAUGAGGGUUGCCCUGACGCGGCGGUCCUUGCUGCCAUCGACGACGCCAUACAUGACAGGGUGGACGUCUUGUCGCUCUCGGUUGGAGGGGUUGGUCAGGAGUACUCUGGGACGUUGCAUGCUGUGCAAAGAGGGAUCUCUGUUGUGUUUGCCGGAGGGAAUGAUGGCCCUGUGCCACAGACCGUGACGAAUGCCGUGCCGUGGGUUACGACGGUGGCUGCUAGCACGAUUGACCGGUCUUUUCCGACCUUGAUAUCGCUCGGGAACAAUGAAAAGCUGGUGGGGCAAUCUCUAAAUUACAAUGCAGCUAUGAACAACAGCGGCUUUCAGGACCUUGUUUGUCCGGGGAGCUGCGAAGCAGAAUCACUGGCGCUGGGCAAUGUCACGGGCAAAACCGUCCUCUGUUAUGCACCAGCAGAGGCAUCGUGGUGGCCGCCCCAGAUAUCACUCCCUUAUGCCAUCAAUCAUACUAUUGAGGCCGGUGCGAAGGGCCUCAUCUUCGCACAGUACACUGCCAACAAUCUCGACAGCCUGACUGCAUGCGAGGGAUUCAUGCCUUGCGCGCUGGUGGAUUUCGAGAUCGCGCAUCGAAUUUUCUCCUACUGGGACAUGGCUGACCAUCCAGUGGUGAAGGUGUCCCCGGCUGUAAGCGUUGUUGGAAAUGGGGUCUUGUCGCCAAGGGUCGUCUCGUUCUCGUCCAGAGGUCCAAGCCUAUUGUUCCCCGGCAUACUCAAGCCCGACAUUACUGCUCCUGGCGUCAACAUCUUGGCGGCAGUGCGCGGCUCCUACGUGUUCUAUUCCGGGACAUCAAUGGCGUGCCCACAUGUCUCCGCAGUGACCGCGAUGCUCAAGUCGGUUCACCCUCAGUGGUCACCUGCCAUGAUCAAGUCGGCCAUCGUCACCACAGCAUCCGUGACCGAUCGUUUUGGCAUGCCAAUCCAAGCAGAAGUCGUCUCAAGGAAACUAGCCGACCCCUUCGACUUUGGUGGUGGACACAUUGACCCAGAUAGAGCCGUUGACCCUGGCUUGGUUUAUGACGUUGAUGCAAGGGAGUACAACAAGUUUUUCAACUGCACCCUUGGAUAUUUAGGCGGUUGUGAGUCCUACUACCUCAAUCUCAACCUCCCAUCAAUUGCCGUGCCAGACCUCAAGGACCAUGUCAUGCUUCGGCGCACCAUGACUAACGUUGGGCCAGCAGAAUCAACAUAUCAUUUAGUGGUUGAAGCUCCAGCGGGGAUAGAUGUAUCCGUAGAGCCAUCUGUGAUCAAUUUCACCCAAAGCAGUAGUAAAAGCGCGACGUUUAUGGUGACAUUCACAACAAGGCAGAGAGUACAAGGAGGAUACACUUUCGGGAGCUUGACAUGGUCAGACGGAAGUACCCACUCAGUGAGAAUUCCUAUUGCGGUACGGACUGUGAUACAAGACUUUGUUGCAGAUACAUCUUAA
rnacentral:rRNA from 1 species